UGAACCCAUGACUCUGUAAAGCAUGAUAACUAUGGCAACUGGAACACAUACAUUGUGAUGGCUGAUUUCACAUCAGCAUUCAUCAGGGGAGGUACUAAGCUUGGUACUACAGCAUGGAGAGUAGCUAUUGUUAACAUCACGUGAAGCUACAGAGACAGGGAAGAAGGAAAACACAUGUAAUGAGCAGGCAGAACAUUAGAUCUACGGCUGUUGGAUACUGAUCCCCAACGAGGGAAAAACAUACAGACCAAAAGGAGGAAUUGAGAGAACAGCCAUCAAGAUAUUUCAACCUAUCAGGAAAGGGAGUGGAAAGGAGCUGACAGAGAAACCUCAAAGGAAG